rnacentral:rRNA from 1 species
GGGGUUGACGGUACCCUACUAGAAAGGAGCCGCUAACUUCGUGCCAGAAGCGUCGGUAAUACGGGGGCUCCAAGCGUUAUCCGGUGUUAUUGGGCGUAAAGAGUCGUGUAGGUGGUUGGGUAAGUUAUCUUUCAAAUAUCUUUGCUUAACAAAGAGGAGGGGGAUAAUACUGCUCGACUAGAAUUUUCUCAAGGGAGAUCGGAACUGAGGGAGGAGUAGUGAAAUGCGUUGAUACCCUCGGGAACACCAGUGGCGUAGGCGGAUCUCUGGGAGAAGAUUGACACUGAGACACGAAAGCUAGGGGAGCGAAGCAGAUUAGAGACCUGCGUAGUCCUAGCCGUAAACGCAUGCUUGCUAGCUGCAUGAAUCUACCUUCGGGUGGUAUCGUGUGGCGAAGGUAACCCGUUAAGCAAGCCGCCUGGAAAGUACGGCCGCAAGGCUGAAAUUCAAAGGAAUUGGCGGGGAGGCACACAACCAGUGGAACAUGUGGUUUAAUUCGAGACUAACCGAAGAACCUCACCAGGGUUUGACAUGUAGCUGCACGUCUUAAGAAAUUAAGACUCUCUUGAAGGUGCUACACAGGUGCUGCAUGGCUGUCGUCAGCUCGUUCCGUGAGGAGUGCCCUUAAGUGGGACAACGAGCGCAACCCCUAUUACAUGUUAGAAAUGUCAUGUAAGACUGCCUUGCCAUUUGGCGGGGAGGAAGGAGGGGCAGACGUCAAGUCCGCAUGGUCCUUAUGCCCUGGGCUACACACAUGUUACAAUGAGUACGGCAAUGAGUCUGUCGCGAGCACGUAAGUGUAAGCUAAUCUCUUAAAUGUACUCUCAGUGGGGAUUGAGGUCUGCAACUCGACCUCAUGAACACGGAAUUGGUAGUACUCGCGGGUCAGCUAUACCGCGGUGAUACGUUCUUGCCUCUUGCACACACCGCCCGUCAAACCAGCAAAGUCGAUUGUAUCCGAACCUCUCUUUU